GAGGAAGAACAGCAGAAGCAGUGAAGGGCCACAGAAUCCUCUGGCUACCCUCAGAAGAACUCUGCUGCAGAGGUGUCUUCUCUACACACAGAAGGCAGGACUGGCCUCUUCUGGGAAGACUGGAGACAGGAGCAUGCAAACAAGCAGCCCUUGCUGUUCCUGCCCUUCGUCAUACCAUCUCCACAGCCCUCUUCCCUGGCUCCGGACCUCAAGCAUGGACCUCAUGAGAAUGAGGAAUCUUCUCUUCUCUGCAGUGGACCCAAGAGGACAGAGCAGCUGCCAUCUGGAACCGUGAUAACAACAGUGGCAGGAAGAAGGAAAAUGUGACAAAUUGCAGCUGUCACCUGGACCUGACCUUUCUCUUGCCUUUAGCAUCCAAAAUGCAUCAAGGAGCUUAUGCAUGGGAAUUUACAAACAGCUCCAUUUCAGGGCUGAGGACACAGCCUGGACUGCCUUGUCACUGGGGACAGGACACACACAGCUGUUGAUAACACCUGUGCCCGAGGAGAAACACCAGGACCUGGGUGUUCCUGCUUUCGGGCCUCAGGGCUCUCACUCAUACCUACAGGAAUUCAGGAUGCAUUUUCACAGUUGCCUGGUACCAUGGCCCUGCCAUUAGAACUUUCUUCCAGCCCGUGUGGAUCCGUGGACUUCAGGGUCUGGCAGGUGCACUGGAACCUUAGAGAUCCUGGACUGCUGCUUCCUUCAAAGUCCUCUCCAGAGUGUCACCCCAAAGUCCUGACACCCUCACUCCCAUCCUAACCUGUUUCUGCCUCAAGACCUCUCUCCACCUGCUGCCUGUUAAGAUGCCCAAGUUUUCAAUAUGCUUACAUUUCCCAAAAGCAGCAUAUUAGACUUCCUAAAGACUGUGAGCAGAAGAUUAGCCGGAUUCACACCUAUAACCCAGCACUGGGAAGGCAGAGGUGGGUGGAUUGUCCAUGAGUCCGAGGCCAGCGUGGGUUGUGUAGUGAGUUCCAGCCUAGACAGAGCUACAGAGGGAAACUCUGUCUCAAAAAGCAAAACAAGACAAACAAAAACCUUGUUUUACUUUGCUUCCCCGCUGCAGUGAUAACACUGGUCAGUAAUACCUUGGGGAAGGAAAGGCUGCUUGGCUUUCAAUUUACAGUCAUGACGUGGAAACUCAUCGAAGGAACUGAAGCAGGGACCACAGAGUGUGCUCACUUCUCCAGCGUGGGCAGCCUGUUCUCUUAUAUGUACAACCAGGCCCACCUGCCCACGUCAAUCAUCCAUCAAGACAAUGCCCACAGGCCAAUCCAGUGCAGGAAAGCCCUCAGCUGAGGCCCCUCUUCCCAGGAGCCUCUGCUUUGUGUCAAGCUGACAAGAACUAAGGACCUCAGUACCAUGGAUGAUUUAAAAAGCUGAAGGGACACUAGCAGCCCUUGGCAAGCGUGGCUCCCGAAGGCCUGGCCCUUCUUCCCCAGUCCCUCUGCCUUGCUAAGAACUGUUAGAUCAUGUUCCUAAAGCCAGCCACCACAUCUACCCCCUUAUAUAUCCAUUUCCUCCUCCCGAGACUCACUCCCAAGGUCCAGCUACCAAAGUAUUAAAGUCCACAAUCAAAAGCCCCCUUUGGCUGCCCUAAUUAACAUGUCCAGUUAAAAUUAAACACCUCAUCCUAACAUGAGGUUUCCCAUUUUAUCUUGAUAAACUGUCUAUGGACCAUGUCUUCUUCUCUCUAUGCAGAGGCGAUCCUUCCCCCGCCCCCCCCAACCCCCC